GGUCAAGUUAUUAAGGGUGCAGGGCGGAUGCCUUGGCACUAGGAGCCGAUGAAGGACGUGAUAAGCUGCGAUAAGCUUCGGGGAGUUGCACGUAAACUUUGAUCCGAAGAUUUCCGAAUGAGGAAACUCACUUAGAGUAAUGUCUAAGUAUCAUUAAGUGAAUACAUAGCUUAAUGAGGGGAACUCAGGGAACUGAAACAUCUAAGUACCUGAAGGAAGAGAAAGAAAUUCGAUUCCGUAAGUAGCGGCGAGCGAACGCGGAUUAGCCCAAACCAAUAAAGUUUUCUUUAUUGGGGUUGCGGACAUAUCAUAACGA
rnacentral:rRNA from 1 species